AAGGGGCCGCUGCCUUAACAUGCAGUCGAACGGCAGCACGGGGGCAACCCUGGUGGCGAGUGGCGAACGGGUGAGUAAUACAUCGGAACGUGCCCAAUAGUGGGGGAUAGCUCGGCGAAAGCCGGAUUAAUACCGCAUAAGACCUGAGGGUGAAAGCGGGGGAUCGAAAGACCUCGCGCUAAUGGAGCGGCCGAUGUCAGAUUAGGUAGUUGGUGGGGUAAAGGCCUACCAAGCCGACGAUCUGUAGCUGGUCUGAGAGGACGACCAGCCACACUGGGACUGAGACACGGCCCAGACUCCUACGGGAGGCAGCAGUGGGGAAUUUUGGACAAUGGGCGAAAGCCUGAUCCAGCCAUGCCGCGUGCGGGAAGAAGGCCUUCGGGUUGUAAACCGCUUUUGUCAGGGAAGAAAUAUUCCGGGUUAAUACCCCGGGAGGAUGACGGUACCUGAAGAAUAAGCACCGGCUAACUACGUGCCAGCAGCCGCGGUAAUACGUAGGGUGCGAGCGUUAAUCGGAAUUACUGGGCGUAAAGCGUGCGCAGGUGGUCAUGUAAGACAGAUGUGAAAUCCCCGGGCUCAACCUGGGAAUUGCAUUUGUGACUGCAUGGCUAGAGUGUGGCAGAGGGGGAUGGAAUUCCGCGUGUAGCAGU
rnacentral:rRNA from 1 species